AUGAGGAGGUUCUUGAUUGAUAGAGCAAGCACUGAAAAUGUGAAUGGUGUGCAAUCGGAAAAAGAAGUGGAGGCACAACCACCUCCUAACAUUGCCAAUGAAUUUAGUCCAAAUGAUAUUGAGCGCGAUCCAGGAAAGAGGAAACAAAUUUGUGAGUAUCCUCCUAAUAUUCAAGAUCAAGUGAGAAGAGCAUAUGUAUUGAAGGGUCCAAUGCAACCAGAUUUGAAUAAAUUUCCUCGUACUGAAUUUGGAAGUUCACGUUCAUCAAGAGCAUUUUCUAAAUCUUGGUACAAAAAGCAUUCAUGGAUUGAAUACAGUGAGUGGAAGAAGGCAGCUUAUUGUUUUUAUUGCUUUCUCUUUAAGCAACCUGGAGGGCCUGUGCACUUUGGUUAUGAUGUAUUCACCAAAGAAGGAUUCACUGAUUGGAAGCAUGCAUCUAAAGCCUUCAAAGAUCAUAUUGGUGGUCCUGGUAGUAAGCACAACUAUUGCGUCAAGCAUUAUGAUGAUUAUAAUAAUCAGAGACAAAGUGUGGCAAGCAAUUUUGCUAGAACAAACAAGGAAUCAGAAGAAAUGUAUAAGAUCCGCUUGACUUGUUCUGUAAGUUGUUCAAGAUAUCUCAUCGGACAAGGCUUGGCUUUCCGUGGACAUGAUGAAUCCUCUACUUCUCUGAACAAGGGGAAUUUUAGAGAGAUGAUAGAUUUGGAAAAGAUUAAAAAUGAACAAGUGAGAGAUGCUUUUUACCGUGGUGGAAGAAAUUGCACAAUGACAUCUGGUGACAUUCAAAAGGAGCUUGCAAUGUGUUGUGCACAUGAAGUUACCAAGAGGAUCAUGGCUGAACUUGGUGAUAAACAAUUCUCUGUGCUUAUUGAUGGAUCGCGUGAUAUAUUUGUGAAAGAGCAAAUGGCAGUGAUGUUGAGGUUUUUGAAUGACAAAGGAAAGGUUGUG
rnacentral:rRNA from 1 species